rnacentral:sRNA from 1 species
GCUGGGUGUGGUAGCGCACACCUGUAAUCCCAGCUAUUGGGAGGCUGAGGCGGGAGAAUCGCUUGAACCCAGGAGGUGGAGGUUGCAGUGAGCUGAGAUCGCGCCACUGCACUCCAGCCUGGGCGACAGAGCGAGACUCCAUCUCAA